rnacentral:lncRNA from 1 species
UCUCCUUCGGGCCUCUUGCUCCUCCUCCUCCUAUAUCUAGCUCCAUUUGCUCUUUGCCGCCUUCCCCGCCCUAUCCUCUUCCCUAGCAGGGCCCCUUAGACUUGUGUGGGAGGAAGCAGAAGAGGCGUUGCCUAAGUCUCGUUUUUCUCACGGGUGGGAAAAAAAAACACCUUUUUUUUUUGCACCCCAAAGGCGAUUCCGACGCGCUUACUCUAGAAUAACUUCCUCGCAAGAGCGUGAAAUAUAAGACGAAAUAAAAGAAGAUGGAAAUGUCAAAUGAAACUAAGCCCACAUCAGCACCUCCAGAAUAUUCGGGUCCAGCUUAUUCACUUCCACAAGUCCAAUAUCCUCAGUAUGGACAUGCAGUUCCAGGUAAUCAUAAUCUUUAUCAUAGUUACUUAUCAGAAUUUGGUGAGUUAGCACAAAUAAAGUAACGGAACAGUUUCUAUUUCAAAUAAGUAAAAAAAACACCAUAAUAUUGUAAGUCAUUAAAAGAAUCCGGGUAUUGUACUAUUGUAUAUUAUUUGUCCUACACUAUGUAAAUUUACAGAAUGUAAUCAUAUUUCAAAGAAACAAAAUUGUAGCGAUCUGAGCUAUUCUAGGAAGGACACCAAGCUUGUAUAGGAGCCCUGUUGAUGCAGUAUUGCAAGCUGACUCUACCCACAGCCAAGAGUUGGAUCCUGAUCAACUCAAGGUUGACUUAGCCUUCCAUCAUUCUGGCAUUGGUAAAAUGAAGACCCAGAUUGGUGGGGCAAUAUGCUGACCCUGUAAACCACUGAGAGAGGGCUAUAAAGCAUGAAGCGGU